AGGAGGCAGGGGAGUCAUGGAAUUGUUUCUGGCCUCCUAGUUCUUACGAUCAUAACCGCCUCCAGAAGGCAGUCGCGCACCACCUUCCUCCAGGUGCAGCGUGGGACGUGCACGGUGACGUGAGGGUCUUGGUUAGCUGUGCAACAUAUGUUAAGGCAAAGGACUACCUGAAAAAGUCCUUACUGUGUUUAACAUCAGACAUACAGUCAGAGGCUGAAGACCCUAUCAGAAGGGAAAAAAAGGCCAAACUCACACUACCUGCAGGAGCCAGCUGGAAGAGUCCAGACCACUAGGGGCCCGCCGCAACACUUUUUUGAAGGUGUGGACACUGAUGACGAGGCACCACCCCCCCCAAGGAAAACAGCACGACAAUCUGUAGAUGUAGGGCCAGGUAGGUAAAAAUAUG